rnacentral:rRNA from 1 species
UACAGAGGAUGCAAGCGUUAUCCGGAAUGAUUGGGCGUAAAGCGUCUGUAGGUGGCUUUUUAAGUCCGCCGUCAAAUCCCAGGGCUCAACUCUGGACAGGCGGUGGAAACUACCAAGCUGGAGUACGGUAGGGGCAGAGGGAAUUUCCGGUGGAGCGGUGAAAUGCGUAGAGAUCCGGAGGAACACCGACGGCGAAGGCAGCGCCCUGGCCGCCAUCUGACGCUCAGGCACGAAAGCUGGGGGAGCGAACAGG